CCAUCUCCAGGGCGCCGGGCGCGUGCGCGUUCGCCCCGUCUUUCCCUUCCACCCUGCGCCCAGUGACCCCCGAUUUCAGAGGCAAAACGGGGGCCCAUGGGGGCUGGUGGCGACCAGGGAGGUGCCCCAGGUCACCCCGAGAGACAGUGGGGGGCCAGGGGAAGGGUCUGAACUUACGCUUUCUCCCAGCGCGCACCUCACCACGUGACCGGCCGGCCGGACAGAACUUGACCCCAACUCAGCUAGCGCCCCGACGCCCCCAGCAGGGACAGCGCCUGACCUGACCAAUCAGUUUUCCCAAGCUGUGGAAUUCCUGUCCCACUGCGCUGUUCUGCUGAGCCUGCUUUCCACGGAAAACUGCGUUUGCUGGUGCCAUCCCCUGGCCCUUCGGAGGACUGCAGCUGCCCCUUGUCCUAAAACCAGGGCCUCUCUUUUCAACCAUACCUUUGGCUAGGUGGUCUGGCCAGCGGGCCAAGGAUGUGGAGGAGGGCUAAACUGCUUAUGUCUGUUGCAUGACAGUGUGGACAGAACUCUCUAGAAUUAAUUUGAAUGAUGACUUCUGCAUCUGAAAGUGCCUGAAAAUCUGGAAAUGUUGAUCAUGUAACCAAGAGUGUGGAAUUUCAGCUAAGGGGGCGCAGCAACAGGGCCCGAGAACCUGCCGCAAUUGGUCAGAGCAUGAGAUCCUGCAUGGGGAAAUGAAGGCCCCUGAAGAAGCAGCUCACAUCAGCUAAUCAUAUACUGGUGAAGAAGAACUAAGUUACACAUGGAGGUUUUAAAGGCAUCCCAAGCAAUGGCUUACCCUGCUGCUUCACCACACCAGCCCCAGAAGCACAUUGUUGAGGCUUAACCACCAACACCAGGCGAGUGACAAAGGGCAAAGGGGGAGCUAGGACAUCUGACACCCACGGCGAUAGAAAUUCUCGAUAAACAUAGCGCAGUACCAACAGACAAGACAUAUGGGCCACCAGUAAAGGUCUAACAUACUAACCAGCAUGUUCAGAGGGAAGCAAGAGAGGAGGGUACUGGGACUGGGAGUCGAACUCUUACAGAAAAGCUUCCUAGAUAGCCCAACCUAUGAAGCCAAGUCCCCCCGAGUCCAGGGGUCCUUUCAAAGUCAAUGAAGAAUGAAGUUAAAAGCUAAAUUUGCCCUGCAAAAAUACUUGUAAAUCCACAUAUAGUUUUUUCAUAAUAUGUGUUUUCCUUUAACAUUUUGAAGACUUCUAUAUGCAUGGAUUUCCCAAGUUGUUUGCACUAAGAGAGACGUAUCUUUUAAUUCCCUUUUCCAUGAACCUUUGUAAGUACUCUUGUAUUUGCUUAUCAUAUUUGCUUAGUGUGGCUGUUGUGAUAAAUCAUCAAAGUACAAACUGGGUGGCUAAAAAUAAGGACCUGUAAAUGAUUCCACCUGAUAUGUUUGGAGCAGGCACUCAGUCCGCCAUGCCUUACUUCUAAGUAUUGGUAGAAAAACAUACAAUGAUCACACACUACCCAUGGGUGGAAGAUCUCAGUCCAAGCUGGUGAACUACCCUGAGUUCUGGUUCUGGUAACAUGGACACUGAUGAAGGCUAAAGGGAGACCCAGCAUCUGGUAUCCCAAGUGGACUCCAGGUCCCCGGUUCUGGACUCUUGGCUCAAUCUUCCUUUGAGCCCUGUCCAGCUGCUGAGAGGGUUCCUGGAAUCUUUGCCGUGCAGACUGAUCUCUUUCUCUUUCCCCUAGUGAAGUUUUUGACACACCAAAAGGCUUGGUUCUGGUCCCGUUUCCCUCCUGCAGUGCUCCCACCAGGGCUGGCACCGAUGUGGAUCUAGCAUCUCUCUGGCCCUGAACUGAGACCACCUCUCCAGAAGUGAUCCACUGGGCUCCAGGGUCGCUGGGGCAGACAGUGGUCCCGGUGGAGGAGUGUCUGAGUCAGCAGGUGCACUGGGUGAUACAUUCCACUGUGGACCAAGAGGGAGAUACACAGUGCUUGCAUUAGGAGGAAAAGUGAGGGGAGGAGAAGGAAGCAGGUGUAUAGAAGAAGCUGACCGCUGAUUCCUGGGUCUCCUCCUGAGCUCCAUUCUUGAGCUUAGCUCUCCUGUGUAAGCCACUGGGGGGCAGCAAGGGCCUGGAUUUGAGAGCUGCAAUGGCCCAAAUGCACUGCUAAGGUUUAUCCUGGCCUGUAGGGGGGCCCAAGUGAUUGCAAAACAUUCAUAAGCAUGUGGUCCCCAUUGAGUCUCUUCAUUGCAGAUGCCAGUCAAUAUCCCUGGGCUUCUGUCUCAGGCCUCUGCCGAGGCUGGGGACAGGGAGAUGUGGGAGCAUGCGCCCUUGCAGGGGUAGAGAAGGAUGAGGAGUUUCCUGCCAGCCCUGCCUUCAGUCCCUGGAAGGAAGCUGUUGGACGCUUCUGAGGCAGGCUCACCCCCCAGGGAAGGGAUGAGUGAGUCUUCAGCUUUCUCUGCAAACAGAAUCAUGUUCUCCAGGAAGGAACAGGUCCUGUGCCUCUCACCUCCUGUAUGUUAUGGGGUGACUGCAGAGACAGAACAAGAAGAGUACCCCCAGAGCAGAGUGUGGUGUUGGCUGGGCAGGGGUAUAUGAGGAAACACAUACAAAUCUAUUUCUCACUAUAUAUAAUAUAUGUAGAAUAUGUAAAUACAUAUUAACAACUAUUAUAUUAUAAUUAUAUAUAAUUUAUGUAUUAUAUAAAAUAGAAUAUAUGUAUUUAACAUGCCUCAUUGUGGCUAGUAGACUGAGCAAGCUUAACCUCUCCAUCUCAGCUUCCUCCUUCUUUUAUAAAUAUUUAUUUAUUUGAAAGGUAGAGAUAUAGAGAGAUAAGGGUGGGGGAGAGAGGUAUCUUCCAUCCACUGGUUCACUCCUCAAAUGGCUGCAACUGCCAGAGCUGGGCCGAUCUGAAGCCAGGAUCCAGGAGCCUCUUCCAGGUCUCCCACAUGGGUGCAGGGACCCAAGCACCUAGGUCAUCUCCUGCUGCUUUCCAGUAGUGUUAGCAGGGAGCUGGAUCCUAAACUGAGCAGCCAGGGUUCUAACCAGUCACUCAGAUAAAGGCUGGGUCCAUCCUAAGAGGCAGCUUUCUCUGCUGUACCACACUACUCUCCCCUAUUUUAAUAUGUUGUAUUUUCAUUUUCAUUCAGGUCAAUGCAUUUUAUAGCUUUCUUUGGGAGAUGGCACUUUAACUACGGAUUAUUAGAAGUAUAAAUCUCCAGGCAUGUUAGUGUACUUGGGCAGCUGCAGCACUAUCUCCUGCUUUAUAAGCAACAGCAACAUUUCAGACUUUACCCUUGUGUCCUAGCACCUUUAAAGCCUGUGAAUGGUCCCCAAACACAAGUAAUGCAUGGGGUCAAUUCUCAGCCUUCAAGGACCCUAGAUUUCUGUAUACGCAUGAGAGUUCUUCAAAAAGUUCAUGGAAAAUAGAAUUAAAAUAUAAAUUUAGUUGCGUGCAAAAAAUUUUGAAAUCCAAGCACACAUGGAGUUUUCAGGAAGUUGAUGGAAAAUGUUAUGAAAAAGCUUUGCAUACAUUUCAUAAUUUCUUAUACCAAAAUAAACUUAUUUUUAAAUUCAUCUUCCCACAAACUUUUAAAAAAUAGCCUCAUGGAAGGACAACCAUGCAUAAAUGUCUGUGCCAGGAUCCACUGAGGGAAUCUGGGCUUAAUUCCCAUAGGACCUGGUGGGGUGACCCAACUGUCACUUUCCAGGGUGCAGCCCUGGAGGUCUCACCCACAGUCCAGGUCAUGGCAGGUAGACAGAUGCUCCCCCUCCCUAACAGUUCAGCCUUUCUCAUAGUUGUUCACACAUUCCAAUAUUUUCAACCUCCAUUUCCCAACUACCCUUUUUUUGUUAAAGUUUUUUUUUUUAUUUGAAAGGGAGGGGGAGAGAGAGAGAGAGAGGUCUUCCAUCUGCUGGUUCAUUCCCCAAAUGGCUAUAACAGCCAGAGCUGGGCCAGGUUGAAACCAGCAGCCAGAAGCUUCAUCCGGGUCUCCCACAUGGGUGGCAGGUGCCCGAGCUCUUCUUCCACUUUUUU